AAGUAUAAGCAUUUAUACAGCGAAACUGCGAAUGGCUCAUUAUAUAAGCUAUAGUCUAUUCGAUAAUACCCUACUACAUGGAUAACCGUGGUAAUUCUAGAGCUAAUACAUGCGUCAAAGGGCGACUUCGGAAGCCCUGUAUAUAUUAGAUACAAAGCCAACUCGUUGGUGAUUCAUAAUAUCUUGUCGAAUCGCACGGCCUUGCGCUGGCGAUGGUUCGUUCGAAUUUCUUCCCUAUCAACUUUCGAUGCGAGGGUAGUGUCCUCGCAUGGUGGCAACGGGUAACGGAGGGUUAGGGCUCGACCCCGGAGAAGGAGCCUGAGAAACGGCUACUACAUCCAAGGAAGGCAGCAGGCGCGCAAAUUAUCCAAUACCGAUUCGGUGAGAUAGUGACAAUAAAUACUGAUACGGGGCUCUUUUGGGUCCUGUAAUCGGAAUGAGUACAAUUUAAAUCUCUUAACGAGGAACAAGAAGAGGGCAAGUCUGGUGCCAGCAGCCGCGGUAAUUCCAGCUCUUCUAGCGUAUACUAAAGUUGUUGCGGUUAAAAAGCUCGUAGUUGAAGGUUGGGCGCGUGCGGCUGGUCCUCCGCGGGUACGGAAGCGCGCGCCUUUUGUCUGUGGAGCGGCAUGUCCUUCAUUGGGCGUGUCNNGGACACAGGACGGUUACUUUGAAGAAAUUGGAGUGCUCAAAGCANNCGCAUGCUCGAACAGUUCAGCAUGGAAUAACGAAAUAGGNNNNNCUGAUUCUAUUCNGUUGGUUUCUAGAAUCUGCGUAAUGAUUAAUAGGGACAGUCGGGGGCAUCAGUAUUGUGUGGUCAGAGGUGAAAUUCUUGGACCCACGCAAGACUAACUAGUGCGAAAGNAUUUGCCAAGGAUGUUUUCAUUGAUAAGNGAGCGAAAGUUAGGGNAUCGAAAACGAUCAGAUACCGUUGUAGUCUUAACCAUAAACGAUGCCGACUAGGGAUCG
rnacentral:rRNA from 1 species